ACCUGAUUCCAUACCGAACUCAGAAGUGAAAAGCUGUAACGUCGAUGGUAGUGUGGGGAUUCCCCAUGUGAGAGUAGAGCAUCGUCGGGG
rnacentral:rRNA from 1 species